rnacentral:lncRNA from 1 species
CCGCCCACCGCCACCGUUAGCCAAUCCCUGAACGGGCUGGUCUUCCAACCCUGAGGCGGUGACCCUCUGACCUCUAGUGGCAAAAACGAGGAGCUGCACCUCCAUGGCCCGCCUACCCGCCGACCUCCGGCCAAGCAUGUCCAGCCCUUCGUCCUUAUCCAGCCAAGUGAACCUCCCAUUGCAUGGACUCUGGCUGUCGUCGACACGGACUCGUGCACUGCUUACAGUUUUGCUGCCACGUGACGGCUGCAAAAUACAUCCUCAAACUGCAGCGCCACGACACAAUUUUUGUAAUCCUGUCUGACCUUCUCAAAGGUGUCCUUUUUAAGUCUUAUUUGUUAAUAUUUAUAAGGAUAUAUAAUUCAAAGUAAAUGGGAAUGUCGUAUUGAAGUCGCACUAGCUUGGGAGACUCCUUCGAAGAUAUGGAGGGAACAAGUGAAAGGCAAUUGGGGCUUACAUGUGGCUUUUAUUUUUGUUUUUUGAAAUGCACUUGUAAUCCAAUUUGUGGUGAUCCUACUGCCUCUCAUUUACUCCUCACCAAGAGCUAUUUGAAACAGGCUCCCAGGUUACAUAUAGAGAAACAGACUCCGAGGUUUGACUAAGUGAGGCUGACCAGAUACACUUGCCACACAAGCCUCAAGAUCUGAGUGAUCCCUGGAAGCCAAAUAAAAAAAGGCAAGACUUUU